rnacentral:rRNA from 1 species
GAUGAACGCUGGCGGCGUGCCUAAUACAUGCAAGUCGAGCGAACGGACGCGUAGCUUGCUUCUCUGAUGUUAGCGGCGGACGUGUGAGUAACACGUGGAUAACCUACCUAUAAGACUGGGAUAACUUCGGGAAACUGGAGCUAAUACCGUAUAAUAUUUUGAUCCGCAUGGUUCAAAAGUUAAAGACGUUCUUGCUGUAACUUCUAGAUGGAUCCGCGCUGCAUUAGCUAGUUGGUACGGUAACGGCUUACCAAGGCAACGAUGCAUAGCCGACCUGAGAGGGGGAAGGGCGACACUGAAACUGAGAAGCGGCACAGGCGCCUAGGGAAGGCAGAAGUAGGGAAUGUAGAGAAAUGGGCGAAAGAAUGAAGGAGGAACGCAGAGUGAGUGAUGAAGGGCUUCGGAUCGUAAAACUCUGUUAUGAGGGAAGAACAUAUGUGUAAGGAACUGAGCAGAUCGUGACGGUACCUAAUCAGAAAGCAACGGCUAACUACGUG